rnacentral:rRNA from 1 species
GACGGAGGUCCCGAGCGUUGUUCGGAAUUAUUGGGCUUAAAGCGCGUGUAGGCGGAACGGUAAGUACCUUGUGAAAUCCCCGGACUCAAUCCGGGAACUGCUUGGUAUACUGCCGAUCUUGAGGCAGGUAGGGGUCACUGGAACCUUAGGUGGAGCGGUGAAAUGCGUAGAUAUCUAAGGGAACGCCUGUGGCGAAAGCGGGUGACUGGGCCUGUUCUGACGCUGAGACGCGAAAGCGUAGGGAGCAAACGGG